CAGCCGCCACGGGAAUACGAAGGGGGCUAGCGUUGUUCGGAUUUACUGGGCGUAAAGGGUGCGUAGGCGGAUUGUUAAGUCAGGGGUGAAAUCCCGAGGCUCAACCUCGGAACUGCCUUUGAUACUGGCGAUCUUGAGUCCGGGAGAGGUGAGUGGAACUGCGAGUGUAGAGGUGAAAUUCGUAGAUAUUCGCAAGAACACCGGUGGCGAAGGCGGCUCACUGGCCCGGAACUGACGCUGAGGCACGAAAGCGUGGGGAGCAAACAGGAUUAGAUACCCGGGUAGUCCCUGUCUCUUAUAC
rnacentral:rRNA from 1 species